UACGAAGGGUGCAAACGUUGCUCGGAAUCAUUGGGCGUAAAGCGCGCGUAGGUGGUUUGUUAAGUUGGAUGUGAAAUCCCCGGGCUCAACCUGGGAACUGCAUUCAAAACUGACAAGCUAGAGUAUGGUAGAGGGUGGUGGAAUUUCCUGUGUAGCGGUGAAAUGCGUAGAUAUAGGAAGGAACACCAGUGGCGAAGGCGACCACCUGGACUGAUACUGACACUGAGGUGCGAAAGCGUGGGGAGCAAACCGG
rnacentral:rRNA from 1 species